UAUCCGUUAUCUUCCCCAUCGGACAAGCUCCUCCCUACACUCCUACAGGACCUCCACCGGCCUCUCCUCACCGGAGCUCAUCCUGCUCGAUGCCCUACACCUCCACCAGCCUCUAAUGUGGAUUUUUGCCCAUCUUCUUUUACGACACAUGGUGCUCUGCUCGCCGUCGAGAGCAACAGCACUGCCCCUCGACAAACGAACGCAGGCGGCGCGGAGCCCUAGCGAGUAGCGGUUGCCGGCGGCAAGCAGAGCAGUGGCCAGCGCCUUAGCGGAGGCGGAGCCACAGGCGCGGGCUACCGGUGGCCCGGCCUGGCGGCAACCAGGCGACGGCAAAGCGCACAACCCAGCGUCCAGCCGGCCAGGUACUUAUCACUUCUUCAGUCGGAUGCGCAUAUGAGAUAAACUUGGGUCGGGCGCUUCGUCAAAAAAAAUUCCCACGCGCGAUUUAAGGAGACACCGGGCGCUACGGAGAGGCGCUGUUUCUCAGCGAUCUUCACGCCCAUGAGAAUCUUCACUCAAUAAAUUCGGCAGUUAAAUAACAACUGUACCCAGGGCAUAGAAAGAAAUCAUCCCAAAUUAGUUCGUUUUUCUUGAUGGUGGAACAAUCCGUUGUUCAAAAGAUCUCCAUGAUCUGCAAUCAAAAAAGAGAUUAUUGGUCUCCAGCAGGGAAGGAUGCGGAGUUGCAGCUUUGUAGGGGCAGUGGACUUUGAGUCAGCCGAGAGAGGUGAAUCGCUGCUGGCUUCUGCUCACUGUGCGCGGCUCUAGCUACCGGCGUGCCUGCCGCGACAAGUCGACUCUGACCGCCCAUCACCGGUAAGCCCUCCACGACCACACCACCGUGCUUCGCGGAUUGGGAGAGGCAGGGAUUGGGAGGCUGUUGCAGCUGACGAAAGAGACAGGGGAGCGUUGAAUACAGUGUUGGUCAUUAAUGAUUGUAAAAAUAUUGGCUAAUUUUAAUAUAUUGGUUCAAGUAAACAUCGGCUACGCGUUGAAGUCCACUUUUCAUUUCGUUGUAUCCAUUCUUUCAGGCCGAAAAUAAUAAUGCCAAAAAAGAUUUGGAUUAAUGUGCAGGUAGUAGCAGGUUGAGAAGAUGAAUGUGUGGAUGGAAUGGAUUUUUUUACCGAGUUGUCGCAGAUGCUUCCAUGUAGGAGUGGAAUAUGUAUGUGAAUAAUAACAUAUGGGAAUGACCACCUAUAGAUUUGAGAGUGGAAUUUCAGGUGUGUCGUGAUUCACAAGCGAGAAAGUUAGCAAAUAGUAAUUUCUAGCAUAUGUCUCAAAACAAUGGAAAAUUUGGUUUUUAUGUUUGCACUGUUUCUCAUUAUUAGGAAAAAAACAUUCACGUUUAUCUAAUUCUGCACCGCUUGCUUACAUGAAAUGCUUCCAUGGGAGCUUGAUUAUUAGCUACUUCAGCUUUUUGAACUCUAGGAAAGGACAAUCAUGGAGAGAUGGACUGGAGCCACGAUACCAUUCCACACAAACGUCUGAAGCUGGAGUUUGUCGAGUUCUCUGUGGGACAACAAGUAAGAGGAUAUCAAAAUGUGACAACCCUAUAGCACAUAAUUCAGUUUUUAGUGUUCCAUUUAACCUUAGGUGUGCAAUUUGAUAUUCUCGGUUUCCUACACAGUAUACCUUUGAUAUUUGGAUGAUCUAUGAGUGUCCAUCCAAGACAUUGAGUUCCAAAUCGGUAUAUAGUUCCCCUGUUUUGAUUUUUGAUAAGACAUGGUUAUUGUAUCUGAGUGAGGAUUUUUCUUGUUGCAAAUUUAGAUGGCCACGACGUUAAAUAGGUUCAGAAAGUGUGACACAAAUCGGAAUGCUAAAGUUCCAAAGAAAAAAUCUUUGAAUAUGAAAGCCCCUGAUUAUAUGUAACUCUCCUCUGAAGACUCUGAUCAUGUUUGUUUUAGCAUCCCUGGUGUGUCACUGGUCUGUUACAUAUUUUUUACUGACAAUAUGCACUGUCAUUUGUCUAUGUUCAGCAUCUAUUAGAGGUAUAAUUCCUUUCAGAGAUCAAUCAUGAAGGUAUGCUACUACUUUGUUACAUACUAUUUACUGAAAAUAUGCAUUGUCAUUUAGCAGCGUUGAACAUGUAUUAGAGCAUAGUAGAGGUUAAUUUCAGAGAAGUUUAUUGGUUGAUAUUUUAUAUGUGUUAACAAAAAACUUGCAUCUCACAUUUUAGGUGUAUUUUCUUAAUAUGAUCAAAAGAGAAAUGCACACACUACCAUCAAAUUAGUUGUCAUCAGAUCGACCUCAUUGGAUGGAUAUAUUAUCUGUGAAAAUUGGCUAUUUGGUGGUGGAUAGUUUAUCACCAGCCUUAUUUUCUUUUCUUACCUUGGCAAGCCGAAAACUAUUUUUCCUUUGAGACAGUCCCAUGUGGCUGUGAGGCGAGCUAAUCUUUCGAAGCGAAUGGUAAUUUUAUUCAGCAAUAGGAGCCACGAACAGCUAAAUGGUAGGGCUUUGCUGCUGUGAGGCAACGCAACUGAUAUUAUCAUUGUGGUUGUUUUGUCCGAAGUGAAUUUUGAUAUCAUUGUAAGCUGUUGUAAUAUCAACAUAGUUGCAUAUGACUUGGCAAUUGGUUCAAUCUGUUGGAUGAUUUAAUCUCAGACUUAUUAUCUUCUGUGACAACUGGUAAGUACCUAGCCCUAUGAUGCAAAGAAUGUUGGAAGAAACCUUAUCUCCACGACUACGCAUUUAAAAGCCCCAAUAAGUGUCGGUGCCUAAAUGCAGCAGCAGAGGCAAGGAGAGUUGAGGGGUGGCGCUGUGGCACCGGCCGGACUGUGGAGCGGGGGAGCAGCCAGCUCGGCGGUGAAUCAGGUGGAGCGGGAGAACCUGGCCGGCAGUCUGGAAGAUCAAAAUCACUGCAUGAGGGAACUACUACAACGUCAAGGAUAGUUUGGGACGUGACAAUAAUGCUUAACCUGCCCUUCAUGUAUUUUUUUCAUAAUUUAUCUCUGUAGAGAGGGAUGCAACUCACAAUGUAUUGAUUGGGUGCAUAUGGAGUUACAUAUAUAGGCCA